rnacentral:rRNA from 1 species
GAUGAACGCUGGCGGCGUGCCUAAUACAUGCAAGUCGAGCGAACAGAUGAGGAGCUUGCUCCUCUGACGUUAGCGGCGGACGGGGGAGUAACACGUGGAUAACCUACCUAUAAGACUGGGAUAAAUUCGGGAAACCGGAGCUAAUACCGGAUAAUAUAUUGAACCGCAUGGUUCAAUAGUGAAAGACGGUUUUGCUGUCACUUAUAGAUGGAUCCGCGCCGCAUUAGCUAGUUGGUAAGGUAACGGCUUACCAAGGCAACGAUGCGUAGCCGACCUGAGAGGGUGAUCGGCCACACUGGAACUGAGACACGGUCCAGACUCCUACGGGAGGCAGCAGUAGGGAAUCUUCCGCAAUGGGCGAAAGCCUGACGGAGCAACGCCGCGUGAGUGAUGAAGGUCUUCGGAUCGUAAAACUCUGUUAUUAGGGAAGAACAAAUGUGUAAGUAACUAUGCACGUCUUGACGGUACCUAAUCAGAAAGCCACGGCUAACUACGUG